rnacentral:misc_RNA from 1 species
GAUGAAGAACGUAGCGAAAUGCGAUAAGUAAUGUGAAUUGCAGAAUUCAGUGAAUCAUCGAAUCUUUGAACGCACCUUGCACCCUUUGGCAUUCCGAAGGGUAUGCUCGUUUGAGUGUCAUUGUACUCUCACACUUCUAAUUCCUUUCGGGAUUGGGAGCGGUGGACUUGGGUGUUGCUGCUUUAGUUGUGGCUCACCUCAAAUAAGUUAGUGCAACUCUUGGUUGGACAUAGUACGGCGUGAUAAGUGUCUUCGCCGGCGCCUCUGUAAGGAGGGUGGCCGAUCGGGAGCUCUGUGCUUCAAACCGUCUUCGGACAAUCUUUGACAACUUGACCUCAAAUCGAGUAGGACUACCCGCUGAACUUAAGCAUAUCAAUAAGCGGAGGA